UGUGGUUAAUUCGAUGGUACGCGAGGAACCUUACCUGGGUUUGACAUACAGGGGAUGUGGCAGCGAUGUCACAGACUGGAACAGUACCCUGUACAGGUGCUGCAUGGUUGUCGUCAGCUCGUGUCGUGAGAUGUUGGGUUAAGUCCCGCAACGAGCGCAACCCCUACGUUUAGUUGCUAACAGGUGAAGCUGAGCACUCUAGACGAACUGCCGUUGACAAAACGGAGGAAGGUGGGAUGACGUCAAAUCAUCAUGCCCCUUAUGUUCUGGGCUACACACGUGCUACAAUGGCCGGUACAGACGGAGGCGAAGCCGCGAGGCGGAGCAAAUCCGAAAAAGCCGGUCUCAGUUCGGAUUGCAGGCUGCAAUUCGCCUGCAUGAAGUCGGAAUCGCUAGUAAUCGCAGGUCAGCAUACUGCGGUCGAAUACGUUCCCGGGCCUU
rnacentral:rRNA from 1 species